rnacentral:misc_RNA from 1 species
UGGUGUCUGCAGACUACUCGAGCAAAAGCCGAAGGACACCACGGCUCCACAUUUUCUCCGCCCGCGUGCUUCGAAUUGUGCGUGUCUGUCGGUGACUGUGGACUGCGCGCCUGCGCCUUCGUCGGUUGUGUUUCCGCCUUGUCUCCUUGGAACACUCUCGAUUCUUGGCAAAACUGCCGAAAAGGAGCGCAUCGUCUCUUCCGCUAUCGGGCUCUCUAUUCUUUUCCAUACGGGGAGGCCUUUUGUUGUCGUCUCGUGCCCCCGCGCCCAACUCUCAGCGCCAUGGCAACCGCAACAGCCGCGAGGGCUGCGGCGCGGCCACCUGUACCCACGUCGGCGGAACGACUCCUGUUGAACCCUUUUGUCGUUUUCCUCGUAACAUUUGCCGCCCGCGCAGCACUCUUCACGUUGCGCUACUCGGUUGAGCCGUAUAUCGCUUCCCCGGUUAUUCCGCACCCAUCGCUAGAGGACAUUAUGGGGAAGGCCGCCGCCGGGGCAUGGCAUGACGUUGCUCAGUCUGCGUACGUAAGUGGCGGUGGGUCGCAAGCGGAACGACUCGUGACGCCGCCGCCUGUGCACUUCAGCAUGUCGAUCUCAAUGAUGGAGGCGUCGACGUGGCGGGAGGUGGUGUACUGGCGCGAGAGCGGCUUCGCGGAUGUGGGGCCGUACUAUCUGCAGGAACUGGCGCUGUGGUACGUGCGCUUUAUUCCGGCAGUGCUAGCCAAACCUCCAGUCACUGGACUGGUGUUGAGCGCGAUGGAUGGACUGACGGCCGCGCUCGUCUCGCGCUGGUCCUCCGCAAGUGCGGCGCUUCUGUACGCGUUUUUCGUGCUGAACCCUAUCAUGAUCCUCACCACCACAUCCGAGUCGCUCACCUCCUUCGAGUUGCUCCUGUUGACCGUAACGGUCGACCUCUGCGCUCGGCGAGCCAAGUCGGCGCUUGCGUACACCGGUGCGCUCGUCGGUGCCUUUACUCUGGGCAGCCACUUCAUCGCCGUUCCCGUGGUCCUCCUCGCGCCGCUAGGCACCCAAUCGUAUCGUAUUGCCUUCGGCGUGGCGGCGCUUCUGGCCGCAGGUGUCGGGGCCUAUGCUGUGCUUUAUCUGUACUCUACGGAGGCGUCGCAUCGCUUCGCGUCUCUUUACGCGCCGCCCGACAACGGCGUCUUGUGGUACGUGCGUCAGCUCGUCCUUCCCUCCUUUGCGCGCUGUCUUGAGGUCUUCAUGCUGCAGCUGGCGCCGAUGCUGCUCAUUCCGGCAACCGUCGCUUUCCCAGUCAGUUAUUUGCGCCAGCCCUUGUCAUCCACUGCGCACCCGCAUCUCUUCACGGACGGACGCGUGUUUCUUCUGUUGAUGGCCGAGGGCCUGUCGGUGCUCUUCCGCAACCAGCUCACUCUCCCGUACUGCUUCCUCAUCAUUUUGCAUUUUUACUCCUCCCUAAACCCCGCCGCGUCCAAGACGGUGACGCUUGAGGACCAGCGGGUGGUGACGUACUCGCCGUACAUGCGGGUUCGCCUGCUUGUGCCCAUCUUUAUCCAGAUGACAAGCAUUCCGCUGGAGGCGAGCUUUUACGCUGGGUGGGUGCUGCGCGAGACGGCCAACGCGAACUGGAAAUUUUUCUCCGACGUCGCCUUCAUGGUGGGCGCCACGGCCUUCUUUGUGCUGUGGUACACAGAGGUCGUCGAAGAUGCGGUGCUGUGUGAGAAUGACGGCGGCGCAGACGCGGUGACUUGCUCCGCCUCGCCCUUCAAGACCACAAAGACGGACUGAUGGAGUUGUGCAGUGCUGCUGGUGUUUGCCGCAGGCUUUUUUGUAUUGCGAGCGUCUGCCGAUGCCUUCUCAGGAGACAGGCGUUGAUGGCACCCACAUCCACAGCAGCGCCUCUCCCCAAACGAAACGUCUACCAGGCACAUUUCUGUUUCAAUGUGCAUAGAAGGUGAUGCGUGAGGAGAGAGAAGUGACGGUGGUGGAGAGAAAAACCUACCGCUUGCCGUAUAUCUCCGCUCUUCUCAACUUGCCUACCAGGUGACGCAGCUGCACGCGCAAAUGGCGGUGAGAGAAACGGAGAAGUGCCAACCAUGCAGCCCGACCCCCUUCAGCUAUGCUUCCCUCAACUCCACGCAUGAUGCGCGCGCCGAUUCUUGCCCCUAAGCAAAGCAAACAACAACCACUCCAAGAAGGGCAACGUGCCUCGAAGUGAAGCUGAAGAACAGUACAGAAGUGUAAGACAACAGCGCUGGUAGAUGUGGCUCGUACGGUAGCGGAGAUGAUGCACACAGGCCGUUUUUGGAUGAGGGGAACUCGUCGAAUUGCCCCCC